rnacentral:rRNA from 1 species
GUCGAACGGUAGCACAGAGAGCUUGCUCUCGGGUGACGAGUGGCGGACGGGUGAGUAAUGUCUGGGAAACUGCCUGAUGGAGGGGGAUAACUACUGGAAACGGUAGCUAAUACCGCAUAACGUCGCAAGACCAAAGAGGGGGACCUUCGGGCCUCUUGCCAUCAGAUGUGCCCAGAUGGGAUUAGCUGGUAGGUGGGGUAACGGCUCACCUAGGCGACGAUCCCUAGCUGGUCUGAGAGGAUGACCAGCCACACUGGAACUGAGACACGGUCCAGACUCCUACGGGAGGCAGCAGUGGGGAAUAUUGCACAAUGGGCGCAAGCCUGAUGCAGCCAUGCCGCGUGUAUGAAGAAGGCCUUCGGGUUGUAAAGUACUUU